CACCCCCCUUCCCAGCAGCCUAGAACUCCCGCAGCAAUCUGCUGGCCCAAGCGCGUUGUUGGCAGCUGACCAUGGACUGAAGCCUCUGAAACUUUCCUGGGCCCCAGCGGGGUCCCGGCUGCAGGGAACCUGACGAUCCAGCCUGUGCCCCAGCAGCGAUCCACUGGGACCCCCCGCCCACUCCUCUGGCCUUUGGGCUAUACUGCCACCUGGUUCCACACUACAAAGACACAGAGGACACCAGACCACCAUACUGGAUAAGUUGGAGGGAUCAUCACCUCCCAUCAGAACUGGGACUAUCUUCAGGGGAAGGGCAGCUGCAACCUGAAGUACAGCCUUUCAGAGUUCAACCCUGUAGGAGGACAGGGAGCUCAACUCAGGAACUGAAGCUAGAAAUCUGCCUGAAUUUUACAGGUCUGCAACUGGCUUGCUGAGACAUUGACUUAUAACUGCACACUGCUGCCCAUGUUGUCUAUUGUGACAGCAGAGACAUACCCUGAAGGAGGCCCUUCAUUUUUAUCUUUUGCUAUUUUCAAAAUUAUUAUUAGUAUUAGUUUUUGCUCUAAUUUUUAAUUUUUAUUUUUCUUUUCUUUUCAAAUUUUUAUCUCUUUGUUCUUUUUUUUCUCUUUUCUCUCUCUCUCACUCGCUCCCUUGCUGUCCCACAUUGUUCUGCAUCUCCCUUUGUGUUCCUGUUCUGGCCCUAAUUCAUAUUUCCUCUUCAUUAUUCUUUUCUUCUCUUGCCUAUGUUCUCUGGCCUCACUGCUAACCUUCCCUUAUCCUUCUACCUACCUAUUCCUCCUUCCUCAACUCUUUCUAACUCCCCAUCCCAAAGGGUAAAGUUGUUAUAUUGAAGAGCUUAUUCCCUAUAAACAUAUGUUGGGUUGGUCCUCUAAUUUGAUUUAAUUCACACAGUUAAAGGUGAUAGAUUAAUAAAGACCACAAGGUGUCAUUUUCUAAGCUGGGCUUGAUGCUAUGGUGUUGCUAAAUGUAUCACUUGGGCUAAGGUGCUGUGAUUGAUCUAAUCAGUUGUCAUUCCUGGUAUAAUGAAAAUGAGAUAGCCUCAGAGUUAUUGGAGACUCAAAACCUAAAGAUCAGUUAUAUCUGGAAGAUACCUCUGAGAAGCACUCAUUCCAUAAGGGUUCUAACUACAAGCAAAAAAGAUACUUACAAUUAGAAACUUUGAAGUAUCAACCCAGGAAAUAAACCAAAGACAGUACCAGAAACAAAAAUGAGAAGACAGUUAAACAAGGCACAAACUCAGACUUCCACCCCACAAAAGGCAAAUUCUGGGGGAAACGAGGUGGAAAAGUCUGAUAAUCAACCACUUGGAGACCCUGAACUGAUAGCACAGAAGUAAAAAAACAGAUGAAUGAGGCUCUAGAAAU
rnacentral:lncRNA from 1 species